UUGCUUUGGAAACACAUAUAUUAAAAUGAGAAUGAUACAGCGCAGCCUAGCAUGACCCCUCCCCAAGGAUGACAUGCAAAUUCAUGAAACAUUCCAUAUUUUU
rnacentral:snRNA from 1 species